rnacentral:rRNA from 1 species
UACGGAAGGAGCUAGCGUCGUUCGGAUAUACUGGGCGUAAAGCGCACGUAGGCGGCGCCGUAAGUCAGGGGUGAAAUCCCGGAGCUCAACUCCGGAACUGCCCUUGAAACUGCAGUGCUAGAAUCUUGGAGAGGCGAGUGGAAUUCCGAGUGUAGAGGUGAAAUUCGUAGAUAUUCGGAAGAACACCAGUGGCGAAGGCGACUCGCUGGACAAGUAUUGACGCUGAGGUGCGAAAGCGUGGGGAGCAAACAGG